ACUUGGUUGGCUCAGUCAGUAGAGCAUGUGGCUCUUGAUCUCAGGGUUGUGAGUUUGAAUCCCACACUGGAUG
rnacentral:tRNA from 1 species